UGGGGAAUUUUGGACAAUGGGCGAAAGCCUGAUCCAGCAAUGCCGCGUGUGUGAAGAAGGCCUUCGGGUUGUAAAGCACUUUUGUCCGGAAAGAAAUCCUUGGCUCUAAUACAGUCGGGGGAUGACGGUACCGGAAGAAUAAGCACCGGCUAACUACGUGCCAGCAGCCGCGGUAAUACGUAGGGUGCAAGCGUUAAUCGGAAUUACUGGGCGUAAAGCGUGCGCAGGCGGUUUGCUAAGACCGAUGUGAAAUCCCCGGGCUCAACCUGGGAACUGCAUUGGUGACUGGCAGGCUAGAGUAUGGCAGAGGGGGGUAGAAUUCCACGUGUAGCAGUGAAAUGCGUAGAGAUGUGGAGGAAUACCGAUGGCGAAGGCAGCCCCCUGGGCCAAUACUGACGCUCAUGCACGAAAGCGUGGGGAGCAAACAGGAUUAGAUACCCUGGUAGUCCACGCCCUAAACGAUGUCAACUAGUUGUGGGGAUUCAUUCCUUAGUAACGUAGCUAACGCGUGAAGUUGACCGCCUGGGGAGUACGGUCGCAAGAUUAAAACUUAAAGGAAUUGACGGGGUC
rnacentral:rRNA from 1 species